UCCUCAGUAGCUCAGUGGUAGAGUAGUCGGCUGCUAACCAACAGGUCAUAGGUUCAAAUCCUAAGUGGGGAG